GAGAACACAUCUUAAUCAGAAAAAAAUGAAGCAGGAGACGCUAAAAGAAAGAAGAAACACAAGGAUGAAGGAAGACAGGACGUGGGCAAGGAGAGCCAAAGUCGACGCACUUUUCAGCAUUUUAUGGAACAGGACGAACUGUCAAACACACAAAUAGAAAAACAGAACACUUAUGACACAAGCCCCUGGGCGUCCCUCACUAAAGUCACACACCCAAUGCAGUAACUACACCUGAUAAAACCAGUUUAUAUCUUUAAAUUUGCUUAUUAUGGUUUUCUUUGUCUUCUUUAUUAAAAACACAGAACAAAAAAACGGCGGUGUUUUUUCGGGGGCUGCAACGGAUUAAUAGCAUUUCAAUUCAUGUCAAUGGAAAAAAUGUAUUUGCUGCACAAGUAAAUUUCAUUGCAAGUUUGGUCACAAAAUUAAUCGUACUCGUAAGUCAAGAUACCACUGUGUCACAUCUUGAGAAGGAAGGUAAAAAUAGAAACAAGAAAUGAGUCUAAUUCUGACCCUCCCUCCAGGAAGUGCUUGUUAUCUUAAGUGCAGCCGUGCAUCCCGAAAGGUGCCCACCCACCAUGCCAGGCCGGUCAGAAACUGUGAAUAGGAGUCUGUGGGCACUGGUCACGGUGGUCCCGACAUCCAGCCGCUGCUCCCGUUAACACCCGCAGGAGAUCUUUUCAACACGUAAGCAACUGAUACACAACUAGACCAUCUGCUGAGGUGCUGAUGAUGGCUCCCAUUUCCCUCAGAAUCUGGUUCUCUUCCUCAACAAGGGGGUUGCGGCUUGCCCAAACGCUACAGUUGUCGCUUAACCAUCCUCGACAAAGUCCAUCCAUCCAUUCUCUAUACCGCUUGUCCUCAUUAGCAUCACGGGGGAGCUGCAGCCUAUCCCAGCUGACUUUAAGCGAGAGGUGGGGUACACCCUGAACUAUCUGCCAGCACCUAAAGACAAAUAACAAUUCCUACUCACAAAGCGAGUGUUAAAGUCUUCAAUGAACCUACAGUAAGAAGCAUUUACUGUACAUGUGGUGGGUAGCCGAAGUACCCGUAGAAAAUUCAAGCAACCCUAGGGAGAACAUCCGAACUUCACACAGGAAGUCCGGAAACAAGAUAUAAAGCCACAACAAUUCGGUCGCCAUGUUGCCAUGAAGUUAAAAAAGAAACAAAAAAAUGGCUUAGAAAUCACAUGAGAAUGCUAAGAGACGCCGAUCUAAAAUGCCCAAAAAUUAUUUGUUGAAUUGACGAUAGAGUGCCAGUUCAUACAAACAUUACAGCGAUGCUAAGACGCCAUGCAAAAAUGCUGCACUGUAGUCUAUCGCUAACCUACGCUAACGCAGUAGUAAGCUCCUGAUUACAGAAGAUAUUUGUGUGAAAAACACUUAUGUAGCGCUCUUCAAGCGACUCAAAGACGCUUAAUUGCAUGCAUUAUUCAUUCACUUCACAGUCAGAGUCACACCCUGGUGGUGGUAAGCUACUUGUGUAGCCACGGAAACGUGGCUGCCAUUCUGCGCCUACGACCACCACCAAACAUCCAACCACAUUCAUUCACAGGCAAUGUGGGUUAGGAGGAUGUCAUUAUAAAACAAGCCAGUGAAAAACUGCAUGGCGCUAACUGAGUCUGCCUUCUACAGCCACGUGACCAUGUAUUCUUAAACAAGAAGCACGGUGAACUAGUGGUUAGCACAUCUCCCUCACAGUUCUGAGGUUGAGGGUUCAAAUCUCAGCUCCGGCCUUCCUUGUGUGGUGUUUAUAUGUUUUCCCCCGUGCUCAUGUGGGUUUUCGCCAGCGUCCUCCCACAUUCCAAAAACACGCAUGUUAGACGCGAGAAGACUAAAUUGUCCAUACGCACGAGUGUGGAUGUCAAUGGGUGUCUAUGUGCGCCCGCCUCUCACUCACACGUGAGGACAAAAAUGGAUGGACAGAUUACUUAAUCAAUCCUGUCUUCAUUUCACAUCUGAAUGUCCAGUCCUCACAUCAUAUGAUCAUAUCUUGACCUCCACAGCACAGAAGCACAUCCGGUAAUUUGUGUUGUCGUUUUUUUUUUUUUUUUUUGAAUGACUGCACGUAGUCUA